rnacentral:rRNA from 1 species
AUUGAACGCUGGCGGCAGGCUUAACACAUGCAAGUCGAGCGGGGUGAUGGUGCUUGCACUAUCACUUAGCGGCGGACGGGUGAGUAAUGCUUAGGAAUCUGCCUAUUAGUGGGGGACAACAUCUCGAAAGGGAUGCUAAUACCGCAUACGUCCUACGGGAGAAAGCAGGGGAUCACUUGUGACCUUGCGCUAAUAGAUGAGCCUAAGUCGGAUUAGCUAGUUGGUGGGGUAAAGGCCUACCAAGGCGACGAUCUGUAGCGGGUCUGAGAGGAUGAUCCGCCACACUGGGACGGAGACACGGCCCAGACUCCUACGGGAGGCAGCAGUGGGGAAUAUUGGACAAUGGGGGGAACCCUGAUCCAGCUAUGCCGCGUGUGUGAAGAAGGCCUUAUGGUUGUAAAGCACUUUAAGCGAGGAGGAGGCUCUUUUGGUUAAUACCCAAGAUGAGUGGACGUUACUCGCAGAAUAAGCACCGGCUAACUCUGUGCCAGCCGCCGCGGUAA